rnacentral:rRNA from 1 species
AGGAUGAACGCUGGCGGCGUGCCUAACACAUGCAAGUCGAACGUCCUGUCUCGCAAGAGGCAGGGAGUGGCGGACGGGUGAGUACCACGUGGGUCAUCUACCGUGAGGUGAGGAAUACCGGCGAGAAAUCGCCGACAAGACCGCAUAGGCUCGAUGCAAGUUGAGCAAAGCUCUUUCGAGAGAGGGAGCGCCACACGAGGAGCCUGCGCCCGAUUAGCUAGCUGGUGGAGUAACGGUUCACCAGGGCGACGAUCGGUAGCUGGUCUGAGAGGACGAUCAGCCACACUGGGAUUGAGAACGGCCCAGACUCCUACGGGGGGCAGCAGUGAGGAAUUUUCGUCAAUGGGGGCAACCCUGAACGAGCAACGCCGCGUGCAGGAAGAGGUUUCGGAUCGUAAACUGUCUUUUCGUCGGGGAAGAGGAACGGACGGUACCCGAGGAAUCGACGCCCCGGCUAACUACGUGCCAGCAGCCGCGGU